GAUGAACGCUGGCGGCGUGCCUAAUACAUGCAAGUCGAGCGAACGGACCAGAAGCUUGCUUCUCUGAUGUUAGCGGCGGACGGGUGAGUAACACGUGGAUAACCUACCUAUAAGACUGGGAUAACUUCGGGAAACCGGAGCUAAUACCGGAUAAUAUUUUGAACCGCAUGGUUCAAAAGUGAAAUACGGUCUUGCUGUCACUUAUAGAUGGAUAUGCGCUGCAUUAGCUAGUUGGUAAGGUAACGGGUUACCAAGGCAACGAUGCAUAGCCGACCUGAGAGGGUGAUCGCCCACCUUGUAAGUGAGAAACAGUCCAGACUCCUACGGUAAGCAGCAGUAGGGAAUCUUACGCAAUGCACCAAAGCCUAACAUAGCAACGCCGCGUAAGUGAUGAAGGACCUCUGAUCGUAAAACUCUGUUAUUAGUAAAGAACAAAUGUUUAAUUAACUGUGCACAUCUUGACGGUACCUAAUCAAAAAGCCACGGCUAACUACGUG
rnacentral:rRNA from 1 species